UCUCAGGGGAGCUACCAUUUAUGUGGCAUAAACAAGCGCAUGUAUUUGCAUGUGCACGCACACACGUAAUUCAAGAGCCUUGCUUACACAUUGUAUUUAUUUUUAUUGUUUAUAAUUAAGAUAAAUGUAGUGUUGCCACUAUGUGAUAGCAUAGCCCAGACUGACCACAAUAUUUUCCUUAUCUUAUUAGACAACAAAGCUCCCGCCAUUCAGGGAAAGUCAUCUUUUAGUGACCAGAAGAUACUGUAUCCCAGACCCCAUGUGGCAGGACCCAGCUAACUUUCAUGUGUAAAAUCAGUGUCUUCCAUCUGAGGGGCAUUGAGGAGAGAAGGGGCGACGCUGAGGCUUCCAGGUUCAGACCCUGCAUGAGGCGAGGCUCGUUGUGGAGCUUUGCACAGGAGCAAAUGGAGGCCCUCGGGGUUAAAUAUGGAUCCAACUAAUAAGAGGUUUAAAACUCUGGCCUCCCUGGAGAGCUUCCCUAAGACCCUACAGGAGCAGGUCAGUUCUUCUUCAGGAUAACCUAGCACCAGUUCCUGCAGCCUUCCAGCCACAAUCUGUGUGAUUCUUACCGGUUUGAAAGGAAAGCAUUUUAUGUACGACUCCACUCCCAGUUUUCUGAUAAACCUCAGCAUUUUAUUUAGGACACUUAUCUAUUUAUUGCUGCUCCCCAUACAUGGCUCCAUAAACAACUUUUUCAUUAUGCUUACGGUUUCUGUGGUUGGAAGCUCAAGAGGCACCAUGAGGGUGGUUUGUCUCUGCACCAUGAUGUCUGGGACCUCAGCUAGGAAGACCCAAGGCUGGGGGUGACCUGACAGCUAGGGGCUGGAAACACCUGGAGGUGUCUUUACUCCCACGUUUGGUCCUCCGUGCUGGCUGUUGGCUGAGACUUUGGACAAGCUAUCCAUAGGAGCCAUAGGCGGCUCAUCUCAUUGCCAUUCCAUGUGGUCUCUGCACAUGGGCUAAUUUGAGCUUCCUCACAGCAUGGCAGCCGGGUUCCCCAAGCAAAUGUCCUAGAGCAAGGUGGAGCACAAGACCUGGUUAUGACCCAGCCUUCAAAGCCAGGCAGCAUCACUUCUGCUGGACGCUACUGGCCAAGGCAUUCAUGACAGGAGGCAUAGAUGUCAAGGCCCUAGAAGAUUAUAAGGGAUGGGAAGGCUGCAGCUGCUGUUUUGGUACUGUAUAGUCUGCCAUAGCUGGAUUUCCAAAGAUGAAAGGAAAUUAUACACAGAACAUAUUUGUAUUAUUAGGUUCAUAGGAAAGUGAAUAACAGAACAAUUAUUUUCCCAAGCACUUUAUUCACAAACAAGAUACCACAUUAACAAAAUUUAUUUGACCUAAAAUGCCUUCUGUCAGUUCUUCUAAGUUCAUGGCAUUAUUUCAGUAAAAGGUAAAAGGCAUUUUUAACUGAGAUGCUGUUAUACCUAUCAGAUGCCCAUUGGCAUACAUAGCAAUGAUGAUGAACACAUUACCUGAUGGACAUAGAAGGGCUAAGAAUCUUAUGGAUCUUCAAUGGACAAAGUAAACAGCAUUAUGUUGACAAAGCUAAAUGAUAGCCUUAAAUAUUUUAAGAGUGUUAAAAAAUAAGCUAAGUUAGCAUAUUCAAUCAAAUAUCUGCAGCCCGAUGCUAUGUGUCUGUACAAGAAAGGAACAGAAACUUUCUCAACAAAAGAGAGCAGCCUUAAAGCAUUUGCUAAUCUUCCACAUGCAUCUUGUUAUUCUAAAAACAAAGUGUUGGGAAAGGUUACCUAUUUACUUUUGCCACUUAAGUAAAUAAUUUAUCACAUCAUAAGUGCAUUGCACUUGGAAGGCUUCAGUUGGUUGGCCUAGCACAUGGUAAACACCAAUUUGGCAUUGUCUCUUGUUAAGUGGCCAUUUGCAAAAUGUAUUAUCUCAGAUUUGCUGAAAUACUGCAUUUCUAAGUUUGCACUCUGCUCAUUGAUAUAUUUAAAUAACUCUUUUGCCAUUUGGUCCCAAACCCAUGUGCUGAUGUGUCUGCUGGGUGUCAUUGCUUUCCCUGUAUCUGAAGCAGUGCCAUGCUUUUGUUUGGGGGAAACACUACCCUGGGAAGGGAUAGAAAAAUUUCAAAGUCAUACCUUUUUCUGGAGCGUACCCCAUGCCAACUAUGCACUCCAAAGAAUGAGAGUUGAUCAGAAGAUCAGAGAAUAUCCCCCUCCCUGUGCCCUACCACCGUGUGAAUGAGCAUCCAGUAUAAUAACCGUGAGUUGAGCUUGAAAAACUGCAAGACAUAUACUCUGACUGAGCUGCCAGAUAUAGGGGAGCCCAACUGCCAAGAGAGGAGGCAAAAAUAAGGACAUUAGAAGUUUCUGAUACCUAAAUCUACACCAAACAUCAAAUACACUUCAACUGCUGGCCAAAUGAACAUCAGUUCUCACCUGAAACUCAUGUUUAACUCAGUAUCUUCUGCCCUGUACCAUAUGUCUAUAUUUCAACAAAAUAUUACAAGGCAGGCCACAAGUCAAAAAAACACUGAUGAAGCAAAACAAUCAUCAGAACCAAACUCAGAUAUGACUCAGAUGUUGGAAUUAUCAGACAUGUAAUUUAAAACAACUAUGAUCAAUAUGUUAAAGACUUUGAUAGAAGAGGUACACAACAUGUAAGAAUAUGGAUGUCAGCAGAAAGAUGAAAAGAAAUGCCGGAAAUACAAAACAGACACAUUUGACACAGCUGAAGGAAGAAUCGGUGACCUUGAGGAUAGGGGAAAAGGAAACAACCCAAGCUGAAACACAAAGAGAAAAAAGAACGGAAAAUAAAACAGAGCAGGACAGAGAAUUAAAAACAAGCAGGGCAGAG